rnacentral:lncRNA from 1 species
ACCUCUUGGGCCUUCCGUGUAACCACUUGAGUCUCUCCCUCUUUGGAGCUGGUUUGAAAACUUCACUCCACCCUCUUGUAUUCACAAGACAAGAGAAAUAAGCUGUUGGAAGCAGACACAAGCUGUGUUUGUUCCUUCGAGCUGCUGCUGUGAUGUAACUGGAUCCUGCUUGGGAAGGUCACAAGGGGACUGUGGGCAGAGCCCCAGCCUGGGGCCUGGCUGUGGGCACGAGAGAAGGCUAAACAUCCCCCAGAUGCCACGGUG